rnacentral:rRNA from 1 species
UAGGGAAUCUUGCGCAAUGGGCGAAAGCCUGACGCAGCCAUGCCGCGUGAAUGAUGAAGGUCUUAGGAUUGUAAAAUUCUUUCACCGGGGACGAUAAUGACGGUACCCGGAGAAGAAGCCCCGGCUAACUUCGUGCCAGCAGCCGCGGUAAUACGAAGGGGGCUAGCGUUGCUCGGAAUUACUGGGCGUAAAGGGAGCGUAGGCGGAUAGUUUAGUCAGAGGUGAAAGCCCAGGGCUCAACCUUGGAACU